GAAAAGGAGGAGCAGAAGGCCAUAUAAGCCUCCUGCUAACAUGCCUUUCCUUACUCCCCGUCAAGGCAGGUGUUUUCCAUUACAACCAGUGAAGUUUAAGGACCUUUCUCCCUUUUAAUUAAGAGAGAUCUGGAGUUCCCAUUGUGCCUCAGACUUUUUCAGCUGUGAAUAGAAUUGUGUUAAAUACUGAAUAUUUUGAAAAUUGGUGGUUCCUAGGAUUUUUUUUUUAGCAUUAACUAUACAAUGCCCUAUAUUUGGAGCUUAUUUCCCUAAAGGGAGCUACAAGUCUGCACUUCUGUGGGGUGUCGGUGAAAGGGACAGUGUAAAAGAAAGAAAACUAGAUUAGGAAUCUCAGACCCAUUACUUAACUUCUGGGCAACCAAAGAUCCUAGAGAUUGAGGAAAGCUGCGUACUGAGGGCAGACAGUUACAACGAUCCCACCUGGAGGCAGCUGAGAGCCCAGGCACCUCGGGGGUCCGGGCCAACUACACUUGAAAAUGAUCGGGCAGGCACCUAAGGACCUCAUCAUCCAGAAGCUCUCUCCACAGGUUAUUUAUACCUUCUGAAUCCAAUUCUCCCUAUGCAACAAGAGAACUGUUCGGUUCUGCAAACAUAUAUUGUAUCUAGGAUAUACUGCAACAUAUCCAACAUAUAAAGGACUGCUUGCCAUCUAGGGAAGGGGGUGGAGGCAGGGAGGGAAAAAAAAUUUGGAACAGAAACGAGUGUCAAUAUAAAGUAAUUAUUAAAUAAAAAUUAAAAAAAAAAAAAAAACAAAAAAAAAACAAACUGUCCUUCUAUCUUAACUCUGCUAUUCUACAUAACAUCUCUAGUUUCUUUGCCUCCCCAAAUCUAAAUGUACUCUUUUCUCGCUUCUACAUUAUGGAAUCCACAACUUCCUUCAAAGCCAGCUCAGUGACCAGCUUCCACACCUAAGCUUUUUUCCUGAUCUCUCUCCCACCAUUAUUAUCGCCCUUCUUCACCUCCACCUCCAUCUUGAAAUCUCUUUUAAUAUUUUGUGUAUUUACUUAUCUGUGUUAAUCAUAUUCUAUCUUCCCAGUAGACUGUAAGUUUCUUGAGAGGAGGGGCUGUUUUGUUUGUAUUUUCCAUGUCCCUAAGAGAUGUACCCAGCACAUCCUAAAUGCUGAGUAAUUUUAUUCAUUGAAUCAUUGAAUUGAGAUCAUUGAAAAAUCAGGUUAA